GAUGAACGCUGGCGGCGUGCUUAACACAUGCAAGUCGAACGGAACUACUCCAAUGAGAGUCUUCGGAAAGGAUUUGGUUUAGUUUAGUGGCGGACGGGUGAGUAACGCGUGGGUAACCUGCCCUAUACAGGGGGAUAACAGUUGGAAACGACUGUUAAUACCGCAUAAGCGCACAGGAGCGCAUGCUCCGGUGUGAAAAACUCCGGUGGUAUAGGAUGGACCCGCGUCUGAUUAGCUGGUUGGCGGGGUAACGGCCCACCAAGGCGACGAUCAGUAGCCGGCCUGAGAGGGUGAACGGCCACAGUGGGACUGAGACACGGCCCAAACUCCUACGGGAGGCAGCAGUGGGGAAUAUUGCACAAUGGGGGAAACCCUGAUGCAGCGACGCCGCGUGAGCGAAGAAGUAUCUCGGUAUGUAAAGCUCUAUCAGCAGGGAAGAAAAUGACGGUACCUGACUAAGAAGCCCCGGCUAACUACGUG
rnacentral:rRNA from 1 species